AUGGCGUCAGGAUGAACGCUAGCUACAGGCUUAACACAUGCAAGUCGAGGGGCGAGCAUGAAAGUAAGCUUGCUACUUUGAUGGCGACCGGCGCACGGGUGCGUAACACGUAUCCAAUCUACCCACUGGCUCAGGGAUAGCCUUUCGAAAGAAAGAUUAAUACCUGAUGGUUUCAGUUUUUAGCCCGCAUGGACUUAUGAAUAAAGAUUUAUCGGCGAUGGAUGAGGAUGCGUCCGAUUAGAUAGUAGGCGGGGUAACGGCCCACCUAGUCGACGAUCGGUAGGGGCUCUGAGGGGAGGAUCCCCCACAUUGGAACUGAGACACGGUCCAAACUCCUACGGGAGGCAGCAGUGAGGAAUAUUGGUCAAUGGGCGAGAGCCUGAACCAGCCAAGUAGCGUGAAGGGAUGACUGCCCUAUGGGUUGUAAACCUCUUUUGUUUGGGAAUAAAGUGAGCCACGUGUGGCUUUUUGUAUGUACCUUACGAAUAAGCAUCGGCUAAUUCCGUGCCAGCAGCCGC
rnacentral:rRNA from 1 species